rnacentral:rRNA from 1 species
AGUGAACGCUGGCGGUAGGCCUAACACAUGCAAGUCGAACGGCAGCACAGUAAGAGCUUGCUCUUACGGGUGGCGAGUGACGGACGGGUGAGGAAUACAUCGGAAUCUACUUUUUCGUGGGGGAUAACGUAGGGAACCUUACGCUAAUACCGCAUACGACCUACGGGUGAAAGCAGGGGAUCUUCGGACCUUGCGCGAUUGAAUGAGCCGAUGUCGGAUUAGCUAGUUGGCGGGGUAAAGGCCCACCAAGGCGACGAUCCGUAGCUGGUCUGAGAGGAUGAUCAGCCACACUGGAACUGAGACACGGUCCAGACUCCUACGGGAGGCAGCAGUGGGGAAUAUUGGACAAUGGGCGCAAGCCUGAUCCAGCCAUACCGCGUGGGUGAAGAAGGCCUUCGGGUUGUAAAGCCCUUUUGUUGGGAAAGAAAAGCAGCAGGUUAAUACCCCGCUGUUCUGACGGUACCCAAAGAACAAGCACCGGCUAACUUCGUG